CAGAAACUGAGAGUUUGCAUGAUGGCAUUUUCUCAGACGUUGAAUCUGAUGUGUACAGAUGAACUCAGGAGCCUACUAGAGUUGCCAAGGAACUUGUGCUUGAACUGAAGACCAGAAACGCAAAGAAAAUCAGUCAAACCAGUCCUAAAGAAAUGAGGAAUGAACAUGGACUUCUUGUGCCCCAAAAGAAAAGACAGAAAGCUCCUAAAAUGAGCAAAUAAGCUGUGCAUCAUCUCUGUAAUUUGGGAAGGAAAUGACUGAAUAUGAUGAAGCCAAUUGAUGAAGAUAUCAAUUGAAUGGCCACCGAGUGCAUCACUGCUACCUGAACCCAUCAGUUAUCUUCUGUGAAGACUGCAUUCACAAACCGCUCUACUGCGACAGCUCAGAUGUUACGGCCUGCAAAGUAAACAUCACAGCUAAACAACGAGAGCUAGUUGUGGUGGGAUUCUUUUGGCCAAUAUCCCCAACAAGAAUCAAUGACAUCUAGACCAGGUGGAGUGUGAGGAGGACCGUCAGAGACUCCAGCCAGCCGAGCCAUGGAUUGCUCUCACUGUUACCAUCAGGCAGAC